UAAAAAAAAGUUCAUCAUUUUGUAUUGUUUAAAAAUGAAGUGGUUGACAGGAUAAUUAGACUGUGACGUGUGGUAUGGCACGGGUAUCUCAUAUUGGCAUACAGAGAUCAGUUUCUAACAGUAGGAACUGAUGAAAUUUUUUAUC
rfam:Gossypium raimondii Chr04_contig_1341, whole genome shotgun sequence.